rnacentral:rRNA from 1 species
GACGAACCGUGCGAACGUUAUUCGGAAUCACUGGGCUUAAAGCGCGUGUAGGCGGGCCGCCACGUCGGGCGCUGAAAUCCCCCGGCUCAACCGGGGAACGGGCACCGAUACGAGCGGCCUGGAGGGGAGUAGGGGGACCUGGAACUUCCGGUGGAGCGGUGAAAUGCGUUGAGAUCGGAAGGAACGCCCGUGGCGAAAGCGAGGUCCUGGGCUCCUGCUGACGCUGAGACGCGAAAGCCAGGGGAGCGAACGG